UUAGGCGGACGGGUGGAGUAACGACGUGGAGUAACCUAGCCGUAUACCGGGGGAGUAACACUUAGAAAUAAGGUGCUAAUACCGCAUAAGCGCACAGCUUCGCAUGAAACAGUGUGAAAAACUCCGGUGGUAUACGAUGGAUCCGCGUCUGAUUAGCUGGUUGGCGGGGUAACAGCCCACCAAGGCGACGAUCAGUAGCCGGCCUGAGAGGGUGAACGGCCACAUUGGGACUGAGACACGGCCCAAACUCCUACGGAAGGCAGCAG
rnacentral:rRNA from 1 species